AGAACCAGUCCGACCAGCUUGGCGCUGGGCCGCCUCCCCGCGCUGUGUCGCGGCCCGGGGUGCCGGGGAGCUGGGCUGCGGGGCGGGGACCCCUGCCGGGAACCCGACUUAGCCCGGAGAAGCUCCAGAGCAGGAAGCCGAGCGGAAAAGUUAGCGCAGGUUGUGGAAAUCAUAUGAGUUCCCUGCUAGUGACAUCGGGGUGCACAGAUGAAUGUCGACAAGCCCCAGGGAGUUCUGAACAGAGGCCAAGGCAGGCCCUGGAGCUGUUUGCUGUUUACAGGAAAAAAGAAAGAGGGGACCCCAAUAGUCUAGGUCCCUGGAUCCUCUGACUGGGGGCCUGACACUGUCAGGGAAGCUGCUGUCUCCCUGGGGACCUAUUGAACGUUCUUCCCAUGGCUGGUCAGUGCUGACACCUCAACACAGGAAGAAAAAUACUCCUAUGAAGUCAUUUGAAGCCUGGUCAUGCCAGGGACACUUCAUGAAGCCAGGGAACAGUCCUGUCUCUAAAAGCCCAAAAUCUAAUAGCCUCUCUACAGCUAUAAAAGCCCAAAGACAUG
rnacentral:antisense_RNA from 1 species